rnacentral:misc_RNA from 1 species
UCCGGUUUGUCACCGGCAGUUCUCUGUGAGUGCCCGGCCGAACCGCUGGCAACUAUCGAUAAGGGUUGCGCUCGUUGCGGGACUUAACCCAACAUCUCACGACACGAGCUGACGACAGCCAUGCACCACCUGUGCACAGGCCCCGAAGGGCUGCCGUAUUUCUACGACAUUCCUGCGCAUGUCAAGCCUUGGUAAGGUUCUUCGCGUUGCGUCGAAUUAAACCACAUACUCCACCGCUUGUGCGGGCCCCCGUCAAUUCCUUUGAGUUUCAGUCUUGCAACCGUACUCCCCAGGCGGCGAACUUAACGCGUUAGCUUCGACACUGAGAGCCUGAUUGCUCCCAACGUCCAGUUCGCAUCGUUUAGGGCGUGGACUAC